rnacentral:tRNA from 1 species
CUUGACUUCCAAUCGAGAGGUUUAAAGAUUA